UCCAUCCUGCAGGGAAAGGGACGAGGAAUGGCUGUGACUUGCGCACCGGCUGCAGGAGCCCUGGUUGGCAAGAACCUCCGGAUGCGCCCAGAACUAUUCCGAGUUGCAAGCCGCGCACAACGCAGAACUGGAGUUGAGGCUUGAAAGGGCCGGGGGUGCCAACUUACCCUGCAAAGUUUGCUGACUGCUGCCUUAGAUGACUGCAACCUCAUCUGCCAUCAUGUGAAGCAGAAGAACUGCCCGGCUGAAUCCAACCAACUCACAUCGUCUUCCCCAAACAGGUGGACAGGUGGAGGCCCUAGCACCUUAUCGGCAGGAUUGCACCUGGCGUAGUGAAGCGGUGGCCUGGAGAGGAAGGUGUAUGAUACAGUCAGCCCUCCAGUCUUUGCAUGUGGAUCCUGUGGCUAUGGAACCUGAGUAAAUGGAGGGCCGAUUGGACUCCUUACGUAAAGGACGUGAGCACCCGCGAAUUUUGCUAUCCAGGGGGGUCCCCGUGGAUAUCGAAGGGUAGCAAGAUGCAGGUCCCCCAGGGAACGUGCAGGAGUGGGAGCCUUACCGUAAUGUGCUACAGUGCUCGUGACAGUCUGCUUGGCAGUCACUUACAGAGAAGAAUGAAUGGCUGGCUACUGUAUGAACCCUCCCCCACAUCUGUUCAGGUAGUUCUCCGUUAUCAUUAAUCAGGUAAGCAUUUUUGGAAUUAAUCUGGUAGGCAGACCAGUUAUACUUUAAAUUGGUCCUAAAGGAAAUAUACAAUUGGAAUAGCUGUUGUUAUGACGCAAAGAAAUGUCUAAAUGAAAGCCACCAGCCGGUCACUGUAUUUAUUCUGCUUCAUUUAUUAAAUAUUAUUUUUAUAUCUGCAUUUACAAACUUUACUCAUUUCAGAACUCUGCUUUCAAUACACGUUUAACUUUUUUUGUAGAGAGAUUCUCUUGUAAAAUGAGAUCCAUGUACAAAACUAGGCAACAGAUAUAAAAGUUUCCUUUCAUACUUUUUCAUCCAUCAAGAAAAGAAAUAAUGUGACAAAGAAAUAAAACCCAACUGUGGCUCUUUCACAAGAAUAACAUGUCAGUGUUCAAACUAUGAGCUCUAAUGGGAUAGAUCAUAUUUCAUCUUUAUAUGGAUGGAUAUAGUUUAAUACUUCUUAGCUACUGUAGCAUGUUGGUUCAGAUGAAGGAAAAAAAUCAGCUCUACUGUUUGGACUAGAUAAUCUAGAGCCCAUCAAUUACUCAUUUCUUGAUAACGUGACACCAGAAUUCACCUAGGAGAUGACAUUGAUUGGCUAGCAGUAUGCAUUUACCUCAAGCGUGGCAUAAAAAGUUCCCUUUAAAAAAUUCACUGACUUGGCAAACUAAAGUCUGAGCCUCUAAUUCAGCUCUCUUACUUAAAGAAAUAGUUUAAAUGAUCAAUUCAGAAGCCUUAAAGUAUCUUUGAAACUAAAGUUGCUUUUCUUAAAAUGAAUGCUGACUUGACAGUUCGUAGGCUUGGAGCACUGUCACUACGAGACAGAGGCACUGGUGCCGCUAGCAAUGAGAAGUAGUAUCACCACAGGCUAAUUAUAUGGUACAAAAUGCCCGGGGGCCUGAAACUCACUAGUAAUAUGAUUUUGGCAGCAGCAUCAUUUGAUAUUUAACCAUUUAUUACAUACUAUGAACACACCAGCUUCAAAGAUGUGCACUCCCCUUAGGAUACUCAGGAGUUACAAAUUUAUUGUGAUUGCAUAAUUGGUAUUGCACAGUUCUAUAAAAAACAUAAAUACUGGCUAUUCUAGUUUUAAAUACAAAAUACAUGUCAUAUACUUUUAAAUCUAUAAUGUGGUUCAAGUGCAAAUCAGGUGCUUUCUUUAGUCCUUCCAAAAAAGGCAUUUUUAAUAUUUUUGGCACAAAUGAAAUUUCAUCGUGCCAACAAUUCUAAUUACAAUACAUAUAUCCAAACCUUGAGAGUAGCAGUCAUAUACAUACGGUAUAAAACUGAGUAUUUACAAAUAUACUAAGCAUAAAUGUAACCUCUGUGGGUGAAUCAGAACGAAUUAGCCACACCCACACUAAAAAUAAUUUAAAAAGGUAAGUACGAUUCCUUUAUUUCAUUUGCUUAUGCUGGUUGCUGUGGGUUGACGUUCAUGUGAGGAGGAUGUCCUAGAAGACCAAUUCUUUGUUUCUGCUUCCUUUGUUCUGUCAUCUGGAAAGUUAAAAAGUUUCAUCAUUAGACCCAGACACUUCCUGUACGUCAAAUCAUAUACUCAACCAUAGAUUACCUCUGUGGUUAUGGUUUAUACUGAAACCCACUUUCUACAGUGUACUGUCAGUAUAUCAAACACAGAACUUCAAAAAGGACAUCUUCCUAGGCAGAAUGGGGAAUUCUGUGCCUUAGGCAAUGUGACAUUCAGAAACUUUGCUUUCUACUUGUUUCAUAAAGGAACAAAAAAACAGUUAAAGCACAAGAUUCUUGAUCGUUUCCCAAAUCCGCUUCCAACUGAUAGCUUUGUAUGACAGUAACAACACACUGAACUGUCAAGAAAAGCAGUGUGUUUAAAAUCCUAGGUUUAAGAGAGAUUAAGUCCACCGUCUUCAGGGGGUCUUGAUUCCUCUCCAGUGACUGUUGGGCCGUUUUGAUCUGCGAGAAAAACACACAGCAUUUCUAGGGAGAUGAGGAGUGUCCUCUCCUCUGAGGUCCAGGGUGACUAAAUAACAUAAUCAUGGCCUGGCACUCAGUGGUGACUAUUCCUUGCCACCUACAGACACUAAGGUCAGGAAAGACCAUUUCCUAAGGCUGGUCAAAUGAAACGGUGCUUUCCAAACCCAGAACAAGAGGUUGGUACCGUUUAUUUCGGCUGCCGAACUAAAUCAGUUCUCACAUUGACAGGUAUCCAGCUCUGUUCUGGCUAUUUCGGGGCAUAAUUAAUUCCCUGCAUUCACAUUUCUCAUAACCCAGGUAGUCCUAGCUCAGGAUUUGAUGCUGGGCAUCAAAUAUUUUGGUACAAAAUAUCCUGAGAACAUAAAAUAAGAUUAACUUACCUAGGUUCAAUUUUAACGCAUAGCCGUUUUCCUUUCAUAUCAAAAUACUAUUUUUAGGCUCCUGUGAAAUGCCUUCAGUUAUAUUUUAGAAGAGAAGAUUUACAAGGAGUGAAUAUUUCCGAAAGGCAGCUUUUUAUAAAGCCUUUUAUAAAGAGUUGCAUUAGGAUAUUCCAGCUAGCCUCUAAAGUUUCCUUGGAUGAGUGACGAAUCGUGAAGGGAGGUGUCACACCCUAUACUACACAGAUUCAGCUGCAGAAGCAGAACCUCACGUGACCCGUGGAAUAAAUUCACAAGUAGAUGGUAACGCAAUCAGUAAUUCAGUCAUCUCACUGCCUGAUACUUCAUGUUGCUUAGCCCCAGAGUCUCACCCCCUGACUAGCCCCUCGGCAGGUAGCCUUGAGAGGGAAUCCAGUAAAACUUAACUAAAUUUAAUAAUCGCCGCAUUCUCACAGAUUUAGGAACCUUGGUGCGCUCACCCCGUAUUGACAGAUACUUUAUUUAAAGAUGCUGCGAUUUUUCUGCUGUUGAAGUUGGCCAUUAAAGCUUUCCCUGAAAAUUUUCCAUAAAUAACUACGUGCACUUGAGAUGACCUUUUAUGUACCUGCAUCUUCACGCCUGUUUGUCGGAUCACCUUUUUGUGACUUUUCAAUCUGUUGGCUCUUCCUCCUCUUAAACUUAAGGGCUUCUAAACUGGGUUCCUUCUAGCAAAUGAGUCUUCAACUGAAGGCACACCUUCCUUCCCUCUUCGACAGGCUAUCACCUGAAAGCCCAGUGGAGGUCCGAUUCUGAUUUUCCAGGGUUGUCUUCUUAAAACAAUGAUUGCAUCACUCUCCCUGCAUCACAAACCUUCAAGCUCCCUACUGCUGUAGGUUAGUGGCCAAAACCUUCGUUCAGGCAGUCAUAUUCCUGGUAAUUUCAAGAACCUAGUACAUACCUAUCUAAUUUUGUUUUCUGUUUCCCUUAGAAUAAUGGUUCUUAAACUUUGGCGUGCGCCAGAAACACCUAGAAGGCUCCUUAAAACACAGAUCCAAGGGCCCACAAACAGAGUUUCUGACUCAGCAGGCCCAGGGUAGGGCUGGUGAGUUUGCAUUUGUAACAAGUUCCCCGGUGAUACUGGUGUUACUGAUCUGGGGCCGCUGCUGCUGUAGAAGAGCUCUUCACUGGUUAUCUCAGAAACAGGCCAAGAUCACUGUGGUUAUAUUUUCAUAUACUUGAAUACUUAAAAAAAAGUAUUUUGGGUAAAUGUGUUAUUUUUCUCAAAAUAAGACCUUGGAGAAGAUUCUCUGCAGUUGAGCAGGUGGUCGGCACACAAAUCUGACUGCCUGGAUUCUGUUCUGAUCGACCAUGGCCUUUUUAGACAGAAUGGCUACCAUUUAAGUGAGUAAUAAAUAGUAGGGAAUUGGGCAACUGCUUAAGUGUUGGUCCCUUUUGGCAAGGUCAUCAUCCAGUGAUAAUUAUAUGGGAACAGUAAUGAAAACAAAACCCCCUAAAGGACUAAAUCUGGCCUACAAGAAACCAAGCUCAACACUGCUGGCCAGUUAAGUUUCCCUGGCCCCUUAGUACAUAUUCUCACAUAACUUCUGGCUUUAUUAGCUCAAUUCAACCUACUUACCUAUUGGUCUUCAUAGAUUCACAUGCACUAUAUAUGUUAUUUAAGGCAUCACCAUUUUCUGUUACUACUGUCUAUAUCAAAACAGAAAUAAUGACCAAAGUCUUUCGAUCCUUAGCAUAUUCUCACAAUGUAUUCUCUCUGGACAUUUGAAACAAAACUGACUAGAUAAAAAUAUCCACCCGGGGCUUCCCUGGUGGCACAGUGGUUAAGAAUCCGCCUGCCAAUGCAGGGGACACGGGUUCGAGCCCUGGUCCAGGAAGAUCCCACAGGCCACGGAGCAACUAAGCCCGUGCGCCACAAGUACUGAGCCUGCGCUCUAGAGCCCGCGAGCCACAACUGCUGAGCCUGCAUGCCACAACUACUGAAGCCCGCACGCCUAGAGCCCGUGCUCCGCAACAAGAGAAGCCACUGCUCGCCGCAACUAGAGAAAGCCCACGCACAGCAAUGAAAACCCAACGUGGCCAAAAAUAAACAAAAUAAAUUAAAAAUAUAUAUAUAUCCAUCAGAUUCAUGUCUAAGGUGGUAACUUCAGUCAAAAUUCUAAUACAGAAAAAGCUACUUUGAUUAGUGUGAAAUGUCCCAUUUGUAGUAGAUACAUUUAAAAUCCUCAAAAUCUACAUUUAGCUAAGAAUGAAUACUUGAAGCAAUAUCCUCCUUCAUAAUCUAUAUACAGACUAACUUGAAUUUCAGCAUUCCUUCUUUUGACUCAGUCUAAACACGAAGCAAACGAUAUGGUAGCUUUACAAGUCAGAUGUAGCCAAACAUCUAAAAGAUCUUCCAUGAAAAUACGGAGUGUUGAGUGCAAAUGGGCAAAAUUUACUCCACCACUAUCGGCCUCCACACGACUAACGGCUGGCAUAGCAGGGACGGUUCAUCGACAGCACAUGAAAGCCGCAACCUGCUUUCCUGUCACAGUGAGGUCGUGGCUACUCAGAUUCUAAACAGCCCAGAAACUCCAGUCACCAGAAUUGUGCUUCACAGUCCUAUGAAAUCAGCCACGCUCCUAACGAGGAGCCUAAGAUAUUCAGAAGUAAAACUGCAGCAUCUCCUGAAUGCAGUUAUAUUGGUUUAAUAUAAAUAUACAGAUAUCCACACUCCUGAUCCUUAGUGGGCUGUUCCUCUCCAGUUCAUCUGGCAAACGCUCAAGCUUUGAAACCAAGCUCCUGCAUUCCCACCUCUGAGAGGGUUUCCGAGGCACUGACUCGAAUCCUCUCCCUGUGGUCAGGCUGAAUGAAGUGCUCCCUUUUCUCCACUCCCAGAGCAAUCUGUUCAAACCUCUGUUACGUACUUACCAUGUUGAAUUAUAAUUUAUUUGUUUACUUGUUUGUCUCCCACUCUAGGCUGUUAGUUCCUUGAAGAAGGAGAAUUGGUUCUAUUCACCUUUGUAACCCCAGUACCUAGGGCUGCACCUGGCAAAUAGGUGUUUCAUAAAUGAUGGUUCGAAGAACAAAUGACCCAGAGCACAGUGCCAUUCCUCGAGCAUGCCAUGCGUUUUCAUGCCUUUGCUCAUGCUGAUUCCUUUCCUGGGAUGCCCCCUGCUGCAUUUUUCAGCUAGCUCAGAAGUCACCUGCUCGUAGGACUGUAGAAGCUAAACUCCUCCGACCCUCUAAGGCCUCUCACGGGACUGCCUGCCUACUUCUCUGUGCUCCUUUGUUCACCAAUGAAACUCACUUCAUUCCUCGGGCCGUGGAACUUCUCCUACUGUAUCCUAACAUUAGAGGUCUGCUGCUUUCUGGAUGAGUUACAGUAUCCUAGAUGGCAGGUGUUACCAAAGGCCUCUCUUUUGUGGUUCCAACACAGUGUAAGGACCACAGACAUUCAAGUAAGGCUUAAUAUUCCAUUCUUCCAACUGUGGGGAAUUAUUCUAUUCUUUUGUUCUUCCUUCCUUCCUUACGCAGUUACUGUUAACAAGAUGAUAACCCUCUUGCGUGAAAAAUGCCAAACAUGGGCUUCCCUGGUGGCGCAGUAGUUGAGAGUCCGCCUGCCGAUGCAGGGGACACGGGUUCGUGCCCCGGUCCGGGAGGAUCCCACAUGCCGCGGAGCGGCUGGGCCCGUGAGCCAUGGCCGCUGAGCCUGCGCGUCCAGAGCCUGUUGCUCCGCAACGGGAGAGGCCACAACAGUGAGAGGCCCGCGUACCGCAAAAAACAAAACAAAACAAAACAAAAAACAAACAAACAAAAUGCCAAACACUAUCGCAUGCUAAUAUGACAUGAAUUUCAAGCACUACUUCUUUUCCUACCAACUACAAAUAAGGGUCACUGUCCUAUAGGAAGCCAGUCACAUUUUCAAGAAAGUGAACCCUUCUCUCAAUAUAAAGAAAACAUGCAAAAAAAAUUUAAGUUAUAAGAAUGUAAGAGAAUCACAUUUAGUAUUCAGAAUCUCUUGGGAGGGGAAACUUCAAGAUGAGAAGCAUCAUUAAGUAACACUUAGAACAGCAAUUUUAAUUAACUGUUCUUGGCAGUAAUAGAAAAACCACUAACCAGGAUUUUACUAAUAUCCUUGAUAAGAACUUUUUCUCCUCAAACUGGUAUUUUAAGAAAACAACAACCAACGAGGUCAAUAACAGUUAAGAUUAAAUCCCAAGACAUUCAGCUGUCUUUGCUCCAUUAUGCUGGUUUUUGGACCAUUAGAUCUGCAAAAAUAUCUAAGUGAUGAAGCAAUUUUUGUAUUUUCCAGCACUUGUACCAGUGAAUGGUAUUCUUUCAUAGCUGUUUUAAAAAAUAUCUGUCACAGAGUUUCUUGUUCAUUAAUCAUUCAUGGAGUUUUUAUUUUUUAAUUCAGAAUUUUUUUCCCUUUGGAGGGCAGGAAUUCUCACAACGACCGUUUAAGAACCAGCAGUUCUCUGACCUGUCUGCAUGGCUUUUUAUGCAGAACAAUUUAAGAAAUCUUUAGGACUGGUACACACCAAAUUUAAUAAAAUUCAAAUCUUUUCAACAAGUUGAUUGUCAAACAAAUGCUUUACAGUUUUGUUACAAAAUCAAAAGAAAAUGUUGACUAAUUCCUUCUGAAAAAAGCAAAUUUUCCCCAGCAAAAGCAACAAUGCUGAAUUUUUCCUGUGAUUCUGGUCACCUUAAAACCUAAGCAGAUCAAUGCUGGUAAAGGCACUGGAGAAUAUAGUACUGGUUUCCUCCGAUUUCUUCUUAGCCUAUAACAUCUUACAAGAAAAAACGGUCCAAUUUCAAAUUCAUUCAUAGGGGAAAGGUUUUCUGAAGGGUGGUUCUAACCGUUAACUUUAAAACCAAAAUGUAAACAGAGCUGAAACCAAGCAGUUUAAACCACACUGGUCUUGAUGUCACUUAAUGAACCUUAGUCCAUAUGUAAUCAAGUUUACAUAGUUUGUUCAAGCCAAAAUUUUGGCUUCAGAGAAACGAUUCUAAUGCCAAGUCUCUGAUCAGUGGUGUAACAUGGCAAUGACUGUAUCACUCCUUAACGUUUUAAGUGCGUGAUGCGACUUCUGAAACUCUUUAACGUUCUUAAAAAAAUGAAUGAGAAUUUAAACAGUCAACCAUGAAAGGCAAACAGGGUACAGUGACAAAACAAAACAAGGGAAAAUAAAAACACAACACACGCACACAAAAUCCAACCCAGACUGCAGGACCAGGAGUUCCAGCCUGACAUUUUCAGGUAAAGUUGCAUAAAUUUCCUAAGAGCCUGCCAUGAACCUGAAUGUCCUCACGAAAUGAAAUGAGGGAAUUGGGUGCAAUGCCAUCUGUGGUCUUGGCUACCUCCUAUACCUACGAUUCUCUGUGCAAAUUCCUCAGCUUCAAUUCGCUCCUUAGACCAGGUUCACUGGUUUGCACAGUGUGCAUCACUGAAGCAACUUCAGAACCACCCUCAGGGAGCGAUUCAGCACACAGGAUCCUAAGCAUUGAAAGGACAGGCCCGGCCUACAGAGAAGGGCUCGAGCGGCAUUUACUACCCCAGAAUACCCAAUAAUAGUGUGCUUCAGACAUGUUUACAAACGGCACUUUAUAGAGCGCUAAAUACUUCCUUUAUUUAGGUCUGCAUGAGAUCAAUUUUUGUAAGAUUUUUUGGCAUCUAAUUUAAAACAUCUGAUUUAAUGGAGAUUCUUGUAGCCACAGCUCUCUCAAAGGGAGAGGAAGGGAACUUGAGCAUUGCUACAUGCCUUACGGAGCUCGCCUCGCUCUUCAGGGGGGAAACAGAAGCAGCUGUAGCAGACAGUGUGCUCAUGAAUCAGUGUAGUCCUGUGGAACAUUUGUCAAGUGUUUCACAGCAGGGGUAAAAAGUUAAUAAAAUAAUAAGCAAAGUAAUCUAGUUAGAUCUUCAUUAGUUUUACUUAUUUAGGUUAUUACUCAUUUUAGGUGGCUACCAAGCUCAGUGCUGUAGACAGCCUUCAUAAAUAAGGUCUUCUGUUCCCAUUAGUCUUCUUAUUUGUAUCUUAAUACAUGUGAAAGAAAAGAAUUUGAGGCCAAAUGGUAUCUUGGGGCUCAGUUUGGAAUAAUUUAGUUGGAACAGAAAUACAAUUCAAAGUGGGAUUGUUAAAGUGCCACGUAAACUACCUCCAGGAAGAGCUGAUGCCAGCCAGGGCCUUCACUAGUUAUUAUGUACCUAAGAGGAACAAAUCACCUGCGGGUAGACCUUACAACUUACCUCCAGGCCAGCCUUGCCUGAUAACUACCGCUGUACAAAAUUUAUAAUCUUGUCUACGGAAUUGAUUAAAAGCUUUCAGCACCGCGUGCGGGAGGCUGAACCGUUGCCGUGUUUGUGCAGGAUUAUCCCGGUCAGCUACGGGCAGAGCACAGGUCCUCCCAGCAGGAGGUCACCACCUGGUAACUGUGAGUGCUCAUUUGAAGGGGGUCAAGGGCGGGGCAGGGGGGCUCUGGAGUAUACAGGGUUUGCUGCAGACUUGCCCCCUUCACCCAGCUUAGUUACAGGGGCAAAGCAUUUAUCUUACGGACAGGGAGCAGGAUGGGGCAGCGCAUCUGUAGACGGCUGAGCUGGGUGAGUGCAGGGACGCGGCCGGCAGAGCGGUCACUGUUCACCCCCAGCACCCGCCACGCCGCCUGGACUAUGGGAGUCACUCAAUAAGGAUUUGGCCAAUGAAUGAACCAAAAGGGGCUCUUCCUUGACUGUGGUGUAUCCCAGGAUGCUGGAUUUCAGUAUCUGGGGCCAGGGGUCGAUAGAUCUGAGGGCUGAAAAGCAAAACCAGAAACAGCCUUUAAUCUUUUGUCAGUGAAGAAAAGUCAGGAGUACAGCUUUGCACAUCGUGUUUUUCUGUACAGCACUUCAUUGAAGUAGUUUGCAUUUUCUCAUUUUCUGGUUUUGUUUUUCAUAUGAAAACCUCGUCCUGAGCGGCACUGAGAGUAGCGUCAUGGGCUUAUCCUGUCAAAGGGCAGUGAAGGGGGAGUGGAGGGGAAACUGAUGGACUAAAUGAGUUUGUCCUCUGUUGCCCGUUUCCUUUUCUAUCCAGGUGAUAAACUUCAGCAUUUUAACAUGAGCACUACUGAUUUUCUCACCACACCUGGUGUGUAUGGUAGUGGGUGUGUGUAGGCAGGUGGGGUUUCUUUUACCUGGUCCUUUAAUUCUGACAGCUGCCCAGAAAGAUUAGUGACCAGCUUCAUGGUGGACUCCAGCUUCUCCUGCAGGCUCCUCAGCUCAUUCUGUUCUCCUUCCGAAUCGCUGCUGACCAGGGACAUGGCUCUCAUCCUUGGGAACCAGUCAAGGUUUCUUUCCUGGAAUCCACAUGAAAAAAAGAGGGAGUCACUUCGAAGAGGAGAGACGACAAAGGCAGUCUUAUCACACCAUCUUUUCUUUGUGCCGUCUUUCACCAGGCUCUUCCUGAUUGCUGCAGAACUAAUGUACUGUACUGUGUUUUUUUAAACCGUUCAGUAAAUAUCUUUUUAGUUGAAUAUAAUUAAACUCUCUUAAUUCCUAGAAGAAAUCACUUUAACAUAUGAGGAAAAGUGGGUUUCCAAACAAGAUUCCUAAUCUCCAAAUACGACUACUGCCACUCCAUCUGUGAUCUUUGCAAAUGACACAGCUAAUGAGAUUGGAGUUUUAAAACUGUGUUAAAAUAUAUGUAAUAAAAUUUACCAUUUUAAUCAUUUAAGUGUACAGUUCAGGGGCAUUAAGUGCAUCCACAUUGCUGUGAGCCAUCACCACCGUCCAUCUCGGGGAUUCAUCUUCCCCAACUUCAGCUCCAUCCCCGCUGAACAGUAACUCUCCCACCCCUUGGCAACUGCCUCCUGUUUGCAGUCUGCGGCUUUGACGACUCUACGUACCUCAUACCGUGCUGUAUAUUUUUUAAAGCGUUAUACUUGGAAAAUCAUCUGCAAACACUCUACAAGUACAUGAAUUUUAAGAUCCCGAGUGUUCUGGGAUCGACCAGAUACGUGUAUGGGUGUGUUUGCUUGGUAGAGGGUUGUUAAGAGGCUGAAAAUGGGGAGCGGGUUCAGUUUCCCUCUCUGUGAACUUAUGGACACCACCUCUCGACUCGUGUUUCCUUUUCCUUCGGGCCUGAAAUGGCUGGUGGGUGCUGUCAGUUGGUAUAAGAAAGACCCAUUCAGUCUCCUUCCCUGUCUGUCUCCUCCCUUCGUUUUGAUGCCUGUAGCUCACACCUGUAAACAGCAUUUCUCACCGCUGGUUAACAGGAUGGACAAGCCUCCUCCUCCCACCUCACUUCUUCCUGCCCACAUAUGCUUUUCUCAUAAAAAGUACACCUCCUGGGUGAGUUCUGUACAGAGAGGCAGGAAUGAACUGUAAGAAAAGCUUCAUCAGCCGGAGGUAAGGGGAGGCACACUGACUCAUUCCACACCCAGCUGGCGUCACAUCUCACCUGGGCCAUUCGGGUCCUGUCGGGAUGAAUUCUAAUAAACAUCCUAACACAAAUCACGCCCACCCCACCAACACACACACACACACAGAAUUUGCUGUUGUUGCUCUGUGUACACCAGAGAUCAGCAGAAUUUUUCUGCAUAGUAAACAUUUUCUGAUAGUAAAUACCUUUGGCUUUCUGGACCAUAUGGUCUCUGUCACAGCAAAUCUGCUAUGUAGCCCCCAAACACCCAUUUGUGUAGAGUAUACACAAAUGAACGGGGGUAGCUGUGUUCCGAUAAAACUUUAUUUACAAAUGCUGGUGGAGUUGGCCAACCACUGUCAUAUACAAUAAAAGGCAUCAACAUACUCAAAAUCAAGAACAAAAUACCACAAGACGUCUAAAUUUUAAAAAGCAACAUAACUAAACCGUGUCUUGACCUAAUGCAAUCUAGCAAUAUAGAAGCCAAACAAGAACUAGUUGCAAAUACUACAAAGAAGGCAUACCACGGUGGCACGAGGUGUCCCAUCUACUAGAGAGCAUUUGCUUAAGACGUGUGGGGAGUCUAGUCGGGACUCACUAGCCUGCCAGCAUCCUGAGAGCAGGAAACACCUUAGUACAGUGACUGGAACACAGCAGACCCUUGAUAAAUAUCUGUGGAAGCAAGGAGUGAUAAAGCCACUGUCUCCUAGGUGGGCCCUGCUAACUAAUGCUUAAAUGGUAAACCUCCAUUGCUUAGAAUGACUGCUGGAGGAGGGAAGUGAUGCUGUUUACCUUGCUGUGCCACACACCCUGUGAUCAACACUCCCUUCCCAUGUGCCCCGAUGUUAGCCUAUACUCGUUCUCAUCAGCCUCCCACCGCAGACAGAGCAGUGGGCAAAAGGAUGUUUGACAAAACACCCCAUUUCAAAGACGACCAGCCUAAAACCCUGGAGCGUUGCCACGUCUAAUCAGUUUUCUGCUGUGUGUCUACAGCGAAGAGGAGAGAGCAGACAUCUGAAAACAUUUAAGCACAGUGGCGACACUGAAAGGCAGCUGAGGUCACCUGUCACUGAUCAUACCACUGCCCCAAGUUAGUCCUUCACACGUCAUCCCACCUUCCCACCGUGCCACUCUCAGGGAAGAAGCCCCUGACUGCUCGGGGCACACGGAGGGGACAGGUGGCUGGCGGUUACUCACUCUCACUAGGCAGCGCGGGCCCCGUGACAGAGGGAGAGAUGGGUGGCCAGGCUGAUGGGCCACGGGCACAGCUGCAGCAAGGCCGGCCGUGUACCCGAGACCGGAUACCCACGGGGACGGCUGCAAAUAUCUGCACGCUGACCCCUGAGGAGAGCGAGGUGAAGAGGAAAGAUCCAAAGUCCCACUUAAACCGUCAGACUCAGGAGCACGUGGACACACCACCAGUGGGGCUACGACAGAAUGUGACGUAGCAGGGAGUUCAGAGACCGCUAAGGCCUACCCUGCAUGGUAACGCAGGACACGGCCCCGGGAGGGAGGAAACAAUCCCUACAUUUCAAAGGAGAUCCCGCAGCUGAUCUGGUGUUUACAAAGUGUAAACUCCUAUUACUGAGUAUAUUUGGGGGGAAACAUUUGAUAGCUCUGUAGAUUCAAGUCAGAAGUACAAUAAGCACUCUCGGAAGAAAACAUUUUAAAAAAUACAGCAUAUUCAACGAAUACUUAAGGAGCCCUUACCUUACAUGCUUGGUUCUGAGGAAACAGCUGUGAGCCCCCUGCCCUUGGUCACGGCCUCCUGGACCUCUUUAAAGUGGACAUGGCUUUGAGACCUAAGUAUGAGGUAGGGUUCCUGCCAUCAGAGUGCUUGACUUUAGUUAAGGAGAGUGGACAUUUCAGUUAAAAAAAGAAGAAACAAAGCAGCGAGGCCGUGUCAAAUGAGCGGCAGGAAGAGAAGGGUCAACAUAAGGACUGACUACAGUGGUUUUGCGUGGCUGGAAUCCUCUUUGUGGAGGGCCUGAAGGAAGGUUAUCACUUGGCCAGACGCGGGGCCAGCGUGAGGGCCUUCUCAGCAGAGGGGGGGGCUGGCACAGCCCUGAAACCAGUGGGGCCGCAGUUGGGGCGGAGGGCAGACAGGCAGGGCAGCAGCCCAGACUGUGGAGCACGGGAGAGCCAUGCCAGCUGGGCUGGGGAGGGAGAGGGACGGCGGUGACAGGAAGAGGCCUGGACACAUGGGUGGCGGGGAAGGGGAGGAAGUGACCUGGAGCCCCUGCCUGACAAGGCGCUGGCAGAGAGAGGGGCCGUGUACGAGAAGGAGUGAGAGCUCACCUGCAGCCCACCGACUGCCGACAUGCAGAGGAAUGUACAACUGCCUAAAAUGGGUAGAGAAUUCGUCUCAGACCUGGCUCUCAAAUUUUCAUGUUCAUUUGCUUAGCAAACCCUCCAUAAAAAUAGAAAACACAGAUUUCCAAACAGAGUCCACAUUAAACAGGUCUUCAAAAAAGAAGACAGAAAAUCGAUGCAAGAUUCUGUACGUAGCUUAAGUUCCUUAAGUUUAAGGAACAGUUUCUUUUCCUUAUUCUAACAGCAAGCGACCACAUGACUAUAGAUGAAAAAGAAUUUUUCCACGGCAGAUUCCCACCCCCUUGCAUGGUGUAUGUGAUUUGAUCUCUGGACUCCCAGGCAGUGAUUUCAGAAAGGUCUCUGACAAAUGCAAAACGCACAGACCUCAUCCAACAACCGUUUACUGAAUACUUCUAAUUUCUGUGCCUGGCACAGGGCUGAGUGCUGAGGGUCUAGAGAUGAGGAAGACAAGGUCCCUGCCCCCAAGGGGUGGAAUGCAGUACAAGGAAGGUGUAGUGCAGGGCUCAGGGCAUGGCUCUUCGCUUUCGUGGACCCCACUGCAGCCCUACCUCCAAGUCCUGAGUGCCCAGUGAGUAUCCGCUAGGCCAUCGAAUGGGGCCCACCGGCCUUAAAGUGGCUGCUACUGGCAUCUUUGCUCCUCAUGCAGUGGCCGGGAGAUGCAUCAGAUGCUGUUCGUUUUCGCUUUAUCUGUACUUCUGUAAGUGGGCUGCCACCUGUAAUCCUGGGGCAUGAAGGCCCUGCCCAAGGGGUACACAAAGCCAUAGACAGAAAUAAUGCAUCUUCUUAGAAUGUCCAUUUCAGUCAGUGGUGAACGAUCCAAAAUAUUUUUAUAUUAAACUCAAAAUAUGCCCUGGAGAACAUGAAACCCCAAGAUUUUAAAGAAAUGUCAUACUUUUCACAGGCCACUCUGUACCACGUGCCCCAAUCCUGGCGAUACACCUUCGUUCUCCAUUUCAUGAGAGUCCUUCAGUACAAAGGGAGGAACAGGAUUUCCUGGUCAAGAUGUUUACCAAUUACCACCUUAAAGGUUCUCCCUCACUGCCCUCCUCCAAUAACAAUGCAAAGCAGAGCUGGGGCCCCGUCCAAGCCUUAAACCACAGGAAACAAGGUAUCCAAGUGCUCUCGAUGGUGUGUACCGGUAGCUCUUCUGCCCCGACAUAGGUACGUACCCAAAUUUGCGGUCCUAGGUGGUGCCAGUAUUUUAAUUAAAUAAUCAUCCUGGGGGCUUCCCUGGUGGCGCAGUGGUUGAGAGUCCGCCUGCCGAUGCAGGGGAUACGGGUUCGUGCCCCGGUCUGGGAAGAUCCCACAUGCCGCGGAGCGGCUGGGCCCGUGAGCCAUGGCCGCUGAGCCUGCGCGUCCGCAACGGGAGAGGCCACAACAGUGAGAGGCCCGCGUACCGCCAAAAAAACCAAAACAAAACAAAACAAAAAAUCAUCCUGGGCUGUUAAGUCUAAUCUCAAAUUACCAGGGAGCAUCUAGUAGUUAAAAUUAAUGAACAAUUCUGGCCACACUGUUCUGUUUCCAUUCGGCUUUGCACCCUGCACUGUGGCAUAAGCCCCGACGCGGCGUGGAGGCUGCUCACCAGCAGGACCCUCUGCACAGAGAUCGAAACCUUUACAGGAAGAUAGUUAGACUAUCCCAGUCCUGGCCUUGGAGCGGAGAGAGAACACCUGAGUCCAGUCACUUUCUCUUUAGCUCAGACUUCCACAGCAAAUGCUGAGUGCUCAGUGACUCCAGGGAAGCCUCCGCCCGUGGUUCCCCGGCCAGCCAGGGGCUGAAGGUCCAUAAAUGUUUGCAAAAUCCUGCCUUUAUGUCCAUUCCAGAUCAAAAACAUAUCUCAGUAUCCUGGCUUCUCUUGCCUUUUUAAGAAAGUCAUCAACGAAGGCACUUUUGUUUAUACAUGAAUUCAUCUUGGGCUCUGUGUGUGUGUGUGUGUAUGUGUGUGUGUGUGUGUGCGCGUGCGUGUGCGUGUGUGUGUGCGUGCGUGUGUUCAGGAGGGUGGGUCUGGGGAGGCUCGUGGGUUCACUGCACGUCUCUCAGCCGCAUCUGUCGCUCUGGGUCUGAGGGCCCCUGUGUGCUUCCCUUGCUUUCCUUGCUGCUGGUACCUCGCAUACCAAUGUCAUUAGGCACUGUCUGCCCUGGUCCUCCUACAAUCCAGCCAGUGCAGUUCCCGUCACAGCAAGCACUUCCUCGUCAGAGCGGACAAACCGACUCAAGCCACAGCCGGAAGCAGGCUGACCACAAGUGCUAAGGUUCUGGUUAGUUCUUUUCUAGGUAAAGUUGGAAAAGUCCCUGCAAAGGCAAACACUGAAGUUUUAGACACGGGGGCGGCACUGACCUCUUGAAAUGUUCUUGACUGGAAAGAGGGAGGCUGUGUGUGUGAGAGAGAGAGAAACACAGAGAGAGAGGAGAGGAAGUUGGAUUGUAUGAUGCAAAUGCUCAUCAUUCUGAGAAGCGUUUUUUUUUUUUUUUCUUCUUCCCAGGUUCAACUGAAGAGGCUGUUCUAAGAAAGACAACUGAGAUCAUCAGUCACCUCCUCAGAGAAAGUCCACUGAGGUUUGUUUCCGUAGCAAGCCCACGCCGUCAGCGUGUCAGUGGGAAGAGCUGCGUCCUAGGAUCCGGAGCUGAAGCCCUGACAGUCCAGAAUGUUCACAGGACAUGAGCUGGGGUGAGUCAGCCAACCAGCUUGGGUCUCUGCUCCCUCUUUUUUUUUUUUUUUUUUUUUGAGAGAUUACUGGCUACUUCACAGGGUUAAUGUGAGGACCAAAUGGCUGUAAGAACGUGUCCCGUCAACUGGAAAGCGCUGUGCACAAGUUAGUUCUCCCCCUCCCGGGGGGAGGGUUUCGGUUUUAGAGGCACAGAUUUUCCUUUUGCCGAUGGAGCCACGGGAAGGGUGCCCACGCUGCUCGCAAGCGCAGCCGUCGGCGUGGUCUGCUGCUCUUGUCUCGGACGACAUCACCCAGACAGGCCCCAUUAUAUAAUCUUCAGCUGGGAUGGAAUGACCACUCACCCUUCCAGACUCAGUUAAUAGCUGUCCUUGGACGUUACUGUGUAACAGAGACGGCCCCCGCCAGGGAGAGAACCGCACCCAUUUCUGAUGAAAUCCCUAGGCAGAGUCAGCUGCAGAGUCACUGCCUCAUGUCACUCUGGGCCCUCAGGUGAAGUGAUGCCGGGCUCUCACUGGGGCCACGAGAAAGCAGCGCUCCCUACGUGGAGAGGUGCAGCUGGGUCCUGGGCCCCUGGGGUGGCGGGAGGAAGAAGCCUGAGGUCACAGAGGAGGGGAGAAAGGUGGGGGAUGGCCUG